CGUACACGCGCGUCGCACUCGCACUUCCCGCAAUUCCGAGCUCCCGCGGACCCGCCCUCCGUCUCGGGCUGAAUUCCCCCGCGUCCCGCCUCCGCCCGCGCUACCCCUUCGUUUCUAUCUCGGGACUCGGGAGCCAGGAGAGGGGCGACCGCCACAGCAGCUCCAGGAGGCGACCAGCGGGGCUCCUGACGGCGGUGCAGGAAUUUUUAUUUGGAGAUUUGUGUGAUUGAAGCUACUGGUACUGGAUAGCAGCCAAAUUGAAGCUUAAUCAUGUCAGAAUUAGAGUUGGUUUCUUACAUAACUGAAGAAAACAAAAGAAGAAAGAGAAGAAGGAUUGUACUAUUGUCAGAGUUAUAUUUUGAAUCAGUUCUUCUUGGGAUAGCAUAUCUCAGUUCACAACAGGGACCAAGGAAUUUAGAGUGCUUUAGUGAUGAUGAGCGCAGACAUGCUCUUCGGAAGUAUUUGCUGAAACAAAAGUAUGAUGAGCCGCGUUUAGCUAAAAGAAACUUCAAUGAUUUGUGCACCAUGGGAGAUGCCAUUCUUUGCAUGCUUGGAGAUAUUAAGACCUCAAUCAGUGUUGCUGUGAAGUCCACCGAGCCACUACCACUGCCCAAGGUUACUCCUCCUGCUGAAAUCCUUGCUGCACUUGAAUUGAUACCAGAUUUGUCUCGAUGUGAUAAGUUGAGAUCUUAUGGGAAGCUCAUCCUCAGUGAACGCUUAUUCCAAGCGCUUAUGGAGCUCCCCAUGGCCUUGAAGAAGCAAUUUCUAUUGAUGUUGAAUGAGAAGGAUAACUCUUAAUGGAGUUUACAUGUGCUUUUUGUUACUAUAAUAGUUAAGAACUUGCUGUCCUAGUUACUAUCUAGUUAUUAUGAUGGAUCAAGACUUCCAUGUGUGCUUGCUGUUGUGAUGGAGAGAGACUUUCAUUUGUGCGUGCUAGUUUUAUUGUGUGUUGUGUGCUAGAUGGCGAAAGUUUUAUGUGCUGUCAUGUGUGAUUGAUGGAGAAAUCUAGAUGUGUGCUCGAUGAAGAAUUCUUUUCACCUUCUUUUUGUUACAAUACUACUACUGUACUGA